rnacentral:rRNA from 1 species
CCUACGGGUGGCAGCAGUGGGGAAUCUUCCGCAAUGGGCGAAAGCCUGACGGAGCAACGCCGCGUGAUCGAAUGAAGGCCUUCGGGUUGUAAAGAUCUGUUGACAGGGACGAAUAAGCAAUGCGAAUAGUUUUGUGUAUGACGGUACCUGUUUAGAAAGCUCCGGCUAACUACGUGCCAGCAGCCGCGGUAAUACGUAGGGAGCAAGCGUUGUCCGGAAUUACUGGGCGUAAAGGGCGCGUAGGUGGGCGCUUAAGUCAGGUGUGAAAACUCCGAGGUCAACCCGCAGACUGCACUUGAAACUGGGUGUCUUGAGGGAAGGAGAGGAAAGUGGAAUGCGUGGUGUAGCGGGGAAAUGCGUAGAUAUUAAGAAGAACACCGGUGGCGAAGGCGGCUUUCUGGACUGUACCUGACGCUGAGGCGCGAAAGCGUGGGUAGCGAACAGGAUUAGAUACCCCAGUAGUC